UACGUAGGGCGCAAGCGUUGUCCGGAAUUAUUGGGCGUAAAGAGCUCGUAGGCGGUGUGUCGCGUCGGCCGUGAAAACCUGCAGCUUAACUGUGGGCUUGCGGUCGAUACGGGCAUCACUGGAGUUCGGCAGGGAGACUGGAAUUCCUGGUGUAGCGGUGAAAUGCGCAGAUAUCAGGAGGAACACCCGUGGCGAAGGCGGCCGGCUGGGCCGACCCUGACACUGAGGCGCGAAGGCGUGGGGAGCGAACGGG
rnacentral:rRNA from 1 species